AAUGAAUGAAGGUAAUAAAGAAUGUGUCUGACCACCUACAGGAUGACCUCAGAAUGUGAGAUUUUAAAUCCAAUGCAAAGGCUGGAGUUUCCCCAUUUGUAUAAUGCACAUCUGCAGGCUGCUGUCUCUCCAAGCGGGAUCUGCCUCUUAUUGACAGAAGCAAUAAUCCUAAUUUUGUGCGGGACAUUUUGAGGACUGUGAAAGCUGACAAACCGGGAACACUCGUGUAAACUUAUAAGCAGCAGGGUGUAUGUCUUGUGUGUGGCAAAUGUGGCAUGUGGAAGGAAGGGAUGGUACUUCAAAAAGACCUAAUUUUUAUACACGUAAUGGCGCUAGAAGAGUAUAAGGGCAACUACAGCGAAAAAGAUACUGAUUUGGUACAGCUUCUGUAACAACACCUUUGUUAAAUAAACCAUGUGCGCUGAAGGACCUUUAAAACAAAGCAACCAAUUUUGUAUCCAUCUUAAUUUUAUCAGAGACAUCAGGUACACAUAACCAACCUUCUCUCAGAAUGGGUACAGACAGUGCUGCAUUCAUCAGUUCAGCCAUAAACAAAGACCAGCUAGACACUCCAAGAAACCUACUUGAACCAUGUCCUCAGAAUUUGAUUUCUUUAAAUUAAAACUGAAUUUAUUUUGGAAUAUGAACACCGAACAUAGAAUGGAUGUUUAUGAGUUUUAGUUAAGAUUGUAACUAAAUGUUCCGGUAUUAAGGUGAACAUUUUAAAAUGUUUUAAAAAUGCAGAUAUUAAGUUUACAGCAGUGCAUUUCAUAUAGGGUAAUAAUCUGCAGUAAUAGAUCUUAAGCCUUAUUUGUGUGCUAAUUACAAUACAGUGUGCACUGACCAUAAUUCAGAAUGCAGUAUGGCCCAUUUAAUAAAUGCGGUGUUUCACUGUCCCUUUACAUAUGAA